AAUAAACUCAACAUCACUUUCUUGUUAAAAAGACAAUUCAGUAUCACGAUUUCUUGUGUUAUUCGUACAUUGAAUUGAAAAUCUCUUUAUUCAUUGAAUAUACAUUUUGUAUACACUGAAUAAAAAUUACUUUAAUAAUAUACUUAUAAACUAGAAGAAGUGAAAGUAAUAGAAUACACUGUCUAUCAAUAGUCAUAAUUCACAAAUGCCCUAAUAAUUGCAGCUGUAGCCAUAAAACAGGUUAAUAAUGUAUAUGGUAAUUAAUAAUUCUGAAAAAACACACCAAAGCAAACUUCACAGUUUUAAUUAUUAUUAAUUUGUAAUUAUUUUUUUUAGUUAAAUGAUUGUCUUAUGUUAUAUUAAUUUUAAAAAAUCCCAGAGAAUCUGUUGUAAUAGUUGAAUGUUUUGGCAGAUACAGCUCCUCCCAAAUCGAUUCUCAAUCCCUCGGUGACACUUGUUGAUGCUAAACUGACUCCAAGAGCGCUGGUGUACUUUGGCACGGACCCACCGCAGGAGCGGACCACAUACCUGAGACCCUCCUUGCUUACUUCCCUCACAAGUCUGCGGUUGGCAUCUGAGGCUGCUCUCCAGUACAGGAGAAAAGAAGCAGACGAAGAAAUAAAAGAAACAGAGGAUGGGAUUGUUGAAGUGGUCAAUGAAACUCCAAGCUGUUCGUACCAAAAGCCAAACUCAUCUGCUAGCAAAAAGCCAUCAGCUAGCUCCAAAGUGCCUAAAUGGUUCAAAAAAUAAUGUUUGUAGUUAUAUUUUUCAAUAAAUGUUAAUUAAUAAUGUA